CCUUCGAAUUCUAUAUUCUUCUCGCCUCUUAGAAUACUCUCUCCAUCGUCAAUUUGACGUUCUCAAUUUGUAUCUUCCAUCCUGCAGUACAAACAACUGGAGUUGAACAUUCUCUUAGCCUUGCAGAAUCUACUCCAUCCAGUAAAGUUGCACAUAAGGUCUUCUGUGGUAUCUCCGUCCCAUAGAUAAAAUCCAUAAAUCUGGUAUUCUCAUGCUCGUCCUGGUUGAUUUCUAGAUGAGUGUCAUUUACAUUUUAGUCGUCACUCAUAGAUACUUCCUAGUGCACUUGGCUUGUUCAAUGUGAGAGUGAGAUCACCACAUAAUGGUGGAACAAAUGAGACUCGAUGAUUUAUUACUAAAAUAAAGGAACUUUAAAUGACCCUUCGUAUCAUCUCAGUGCUUGGGUGGAGCCAGUUCAGAACCCGGGUUAUUUUUGUUCAGUUCAGUUCCAAACUGUCAUACUCAACUGUGGUUCUUGGUUUCUUCGUAGAUAUGGCUUGUGCUUUCCAAUAGGAACAUUUCUGUUUUUCCAGGGAAGGUUAGUAAACCUCCGCUGAAAUUCAUGAUCGCUUUAGCUAUUGCGAGACUGUCUUCAAUUGCAAGUGUCAAACUGUUAUUGCCUCAUGAAACCUAGGUUAGAGAACUUGCUGCAUUCUUCAAAAGUUGCUAGUCUAGCUUUUGAGCACACUAAUAACCUCGGUAUUCAUUGCCACGCUAAAUUAAAUAACAUAAAGAGAGUGUUCAGUUGACACAUAUAGUCGUAAAGGUAGAGAACACCUGUUGUUAAGGGAUAGAUGAACAUUGAUUGAGCAAAAGG